CUGCCAAGGCAGCAAGGGUCCGUCCAUCCGCCACCGCGGCGAGUGGCUCACACCCAACGAGUUCCAGUUCGUCAGCGGCCGAGAGACGGCCAAGGACUGGAAGCGCAGCAUCCGCCACAAAGGAAAAAGUCCGAAGACGCUUAUGUCCAAGGGGAUUCUGCAGGUGCACCCUCCGAUCUGCGACUGUCCGGGCUGUCGAAUAUCCUCCCCGGUGAACCGGGGGCGGCUGGCAGACAAGAGGACAGUUGCCCUGCCCACUGCACGGGUCCUAAAGAAGGAGCUGACCCCCAGCUUCUCGUCCCGUGAUGGUGACAGCGAUGGGAGUGGCCCAGCCUGUGGGCGGCAACCAGGC